rnacentral:rRNA from 1 species
UACAGAGGUCCCAAGCGUUGUUCGGAUUCACUGGGCGUAAAGGGUGCGUAGGUGGUCGGGUAAGUCUGAGGUGAAAUCUCCGAGCUCAACUCGGAAACUGCCUUGGAUACUAUCCGGCUUGAGGGUUGGAGGGGGGACCGGAAUUCUCGGUGUAGCAGUGAAAUGCGUAGAUAUCGAGAGGAACACCAGUGGCGAAGGCGAGUCCCUGGACAACUCCUGACGCUGAGGCACGAAAGCUAGGGGAGCAAACAGG